ACCCGCUGCGCUCGGCGACUCUAGACGUUGGCUGCGCGCGCACCCUACCUCUCUCCCAGACUCAGCUAGCUUAGUCUAGCCUAGCCUAGCACGAUGCCAGCACCGUGCGACUCUUGCAAAGAUACGUGCAGUGGCGGGGCGGCCGCAUGCGGUGCCAACUGCACCUGCGGCCCCAACUGCGCGUGCGGCGAUGGCAAGCCCUCCGGUGGCAAGCCAUGCUGUCAGGGAGGCGGCAAGAAGUAAUUAAAACUCUUCAAAUUCUAAACUACAAUUUCCAAAAUGUGCUCUAUUUUAAAAAUUAUAUAAUCUCUAUUAUAUCGUAGACUAAUAGCCGUGUAACUCAUAUUAAAAAUUAUUAUGUAGUUUCUUUAAUAUUUAAAAAUUUAACGAGGUAAUGUUGUGUCGUCAUGAAAUGAAAUUAGUAUAAGAGAUUAAUCGUUACAAUGAUAUUCUAGCUUAUUUAGGAUAGUUUAUAUUUAUCUCUGCUUAUAUAAAACUAAGUGUAGUUAAUAAUAAUUGUCACAUUCAGUGUUUAGCUUCUGAUAAAGGAUUGUUCCUUAGUACUUGUAAUACUCAUUAGUUUAGUUCAAGUGGGCACGCACACACACGUCUGAAUAUGUGUAGUGAAUAUAGUAAUAAGUAAGGAAA